UAAAGAUGUUUUAGAAAAACUUGGGAAUUUAUUAGCCUUAUAUAGAGAUACACAUAAUUCCAGUAGAAUACAGUUAUAUAGAUAGAAAUUAUGCAUAUUUACUAGUAAAAAAUCUGCUAAAUGAAUAAACAGCCCUUGGUGUUGCUGCCCAAAGGCCUUUGGUGAAACCUGAUGGGUUUUUCUGUACCACAGAAUAGUCAAGGAGAGCCUCUGGAGAAGAGCAUGCGGUCUGGAUUUGGAAGCCUCAGUUUGAUUUCUGGCUUUGUCACUUACCUUAGGCAUUCAAUAUAGGUGGCUUCCAGACAAUCUUUCCAUACUUGGUGGUUAGAGCAGAAGAGAUUCAUGAAGAGCACUGCCCUUUGAAACAAAAUCUCAUAUUCAGAAAACUGAUGCCAAACACCAAGUAGCAUGAUUUCACUCUGAAGCAGUGUUUCAGCCAUUGCCCUGGAAUGGUUUUAAAGCAAGUGAUAUACUGCUGAAAGUGCUGCCUUUGAUAUUAAAUGUUCAUUAAAAAUCUUCACUAAGACA